AAUAUUGCACAAUGGGCGAAAGCCUGAUGCAGCAACGCCGCGUGAGUGAUGAAGGCCUUCGGGUCGCAAAGCUCUUUGAACAGGGACGAUAAUGACAGUACCGGAAAAACAAGCCACGGCUCACUACCUGCCAGCAGCCGCGGUAAUACGUAGGGGGCGAUGGUUGUCCGGAAUUACUGGGCGUAAAGGAUGCGUAGGUGGAUACUUAAGUGGGAUGUGAAAUCCCCGGGCUCAACCCGGGAACUGCAUUCCAAACUGGGUAUCUAGAGUGCAGGAGAGGAAAGCGGAAUUCCUAGUGUAGCGGUGAAAUGCGUAGAUAUUAGGAAGAACACCAGUGGCGAAGGCGGCUUUCUGGACUGUAACUGACGCUGAGGCACGAAAGCGUGGGGAGCAAACAGG
rnacentral:rRNA from 1 species